CAUUAGGUGGCUGAAAAUAAGCAAUGGUCUCUUAAACCAAAAUAUAGUAAAGUAAUAAUUACUCCUAAUGA
rnacentral:tRNA from 1 species